CAGCAGCCGCGGUAAUACGAAGGGUGCAAGCGUUAAUCGGAAUUACUGGGCGUAAAGCGCGCGUAGGUGGUUUGGUAAGAUGGAUGUGAAAUCCCCGGGCUCAACCUGGGAACUGCAUCCAUAACUGCCUGACUAGAGUACGGUAGAGGGUGGUGGAAUUUCCUGUGUAGCGGUGAAAUGCGUAGAUAUAGGAAGGAACACCAGUGGCGAAGGCGACCACCUGGACUGAUACUGACACUGAGGUGCGAAAGCGUGGGGAGCAAACAGGAUUAGAUACCCCCGUAGUCCCUGUCUCUUAUAC
rnacentral:rRNA from 1 species